UCUCUCUCUCUCUCUCUCUCUCUCUCUCUCUCUCUCUCUCACUCCCUUCCUUUUUCUUCUCCAAACUGUUUCUAACUCUUAUUUUCGUUCUCGGCUGACUCUUACCCUCUCUCACACCCUUCGUUUCCCUUGUGAUCUAUGGGUGCUGCGAAUUUGGAAAUCUUCCAGAUUACUAUAUGGUCUUCCACUCCACACGCUGUUCCAGAUUUCAGGGGUGCUUUGUUCAUAAGUCGAGGGAACGGGUGGUCGUUGAAGCCAUCAUCGUACAAAGGUAGGAUUUCCCUUCUCAUCCCGAUUCCAACAGAUCUUAGUUUCUCUCUAUUUUUCACUGCUGUGAUUUUCUUUUGGAGAAUUGGGUGGUGUCAUCUUCAAGUUCACGUUAGAUAGCAAGGAGAAGCCCAUCUCUCGCUCGUCUCGCGCUGGCCUUCAGGUCUGGAUGUCUCUCUCUCUAUCUCUGUAUCUCUGCUUCUUUAACUUCUAUGUUUCACUCUAUUUAUCUCUAUCUCUCUCAUCUCGGUCUUUCUACUUUCACCCUUUGCCUUGACGUUUCUUUCUUUCUCCGUAUAAAAAUAAAACAAAUCCAUUAUUCCAAUUUUGGGAUUCCUGGGUUUCUCUUGUUUAUGUCACUUUUUCCUUUGUAGGAGAAAAGGUUGUUGAAAAUAGUGAGAAAUUAUUAUUCCUAUCGAAUUAGUUGGCCUCCCUACAAUUUUCUGACUUGGGUUAGGUGGUAUUUUUCAUUUUCUAAGCACCCAAACAGGAUUUAGUGUCGGAUUCUUCACUGUUGGAAAGAGAAAAUUGUCAGAUGCCUUGAAGGUUUAAGACACAUUUGAGAUAUGUUUACCUUCUAGGUUUAGGACACAUUUGGUGUCCCAUUUUUUUCUCCAUUGCUGGUUCUCUUGAUACGGAUUCUUGUAGUUUAGUGUUUAUUGUCCUAGUAUGAAUUUUUUGUGAGAGUAGUUGAGAAAAAACUUAAAGGGCACAUUUGGUAAGUGAAAAUGUUUGUAAUUUUUGAGAAUUCCUGUAAAAGUUUCUAAGUUUCUUUUGUAUUGGGUUUAUGAGAGUGAGUAGGUAGAAUUGGAAAGUUGUUUGGAUUAAAUUUAUGAGAUCUUUUUGUUUUUGUUUUUGUGUUUACUUUUCAAGUAAACUAAGGCAAGUGAUCAGAUGAAUUUCCUCUUGAGAAAUAGAAAAAAGGCUAGAUGCUAUUGAGAUUGCUUUGUAAUAUAUGUUUAUUGUUUCAAGCUGUUUUUGUGCCUAGGCAUGGUUUAGGCAUCUCAUGGUAUUACUGCCCUUGGUGAACCUACCAAUGUGAACCUACCAAUGUGGGCAACUUGUGGAGUUAUUGGAUCAAUCUUGGUGGUCCUUUGCUUGUUUUGGGUUGGUCUGGUAGAAGAAGAACUACCCAUGAAAGAAAUGGUCGGAAAGCUAACGACAAACACAAUGUAAAGUAAAAUAAUUAUCCAUGAAGAAGAGCUUUCAUGUAAUGUGAUUUGUGUUUUUUUUUUAUUAUUAUAUGAAUAACGAUCCAUUAUAUCA